GAUGAACGCUAGCGGGAGGCUUAAUACAUGCAAGUCGUACGGUAACAGGUGUAGCAAUACAUGCUGACGAGUGGCGCACGGGUGAGGAACACGUACGCAAUCUGCCUCUGACUGGGAGAUAGCCUUGGGAAACUAAGAUUAAUACCCCAUAACAUCCCGCCAUGGCAUCAUGGCGGGAUUAAACCUCCGGGGGUCAGAGAUGAGCGUGCGUUUGAUUAGGAGUUGGCGGGGUAACGGCCCACCAAGCCUACGAUCAAUAGCUGGCGUGAGAGCGCGACCAGCCACACGGGAACUGAGACACGGUCCCGACUCCUACGGGAGGCAGCAGUAGGGAAUAUUGGACAAUGGCUGAAAAGCUG
rnacentral:rRNA from 1 species